UACGGAGGGUGCGAGCGUUGUCCGGAAUCAUUGGGCGUAAAGGGCGCGUAGGUGGCCCGGUCAGUCUUUGGUGAAAGCGCGGGGCUCAACCCUGCGUCGGCCAGGGAUACUGCCGCGGCUCGAGCACUGUAGAGGCAGGCGGAAUUCCAGGUGUAGCGGUGAAAUGCGUAGAUAUCUGGAGGAACACCGGUGGCGAAGGCGGCAUCCUGGGCCGGUAUUGACGCUGAGGAGCGAAAGCCAGGGGAGCAAACGGG
rnacentral:rRNA from 1 species